CCUACGGGAGGCAGCAGUGGGGAAUAUUGGGCACUGGGCGCAAGCCUGACCCAGCAACGCCGCGUGAAGGAAGAAGGCUUUCGGGUUGUAAACUUCUUUUGUCAGGGACGAAGCAAGUGACGGUACCUGACGAAUAAGCCACGGCUAACUACGUGCCAGCAGCCGAGGUAAUACGUAGGUGGCAAGCGUUAUCCAGAUUUACUGGGUGUAAAGGGCGUGUAGGCGGGACUGCAAGUGAGAUGUGAAAAACACGGGUUCAACCUGUGGCCUGCAUUUGAAACUGUAGUGCUUGAGUACUGGAGAGGCAGACGGAAUUCCUAGUGUAGCGGUGAAAUGCGUAGAUAUUAGGAGGAACACCAGUGGCGAAGGCGGUCUGCUGGACAGCAACUGACGCUGAGGCGCGAAAGCGUGGGGAGCAAACAGGAUUAGAUACCCGGUAGUC
rnacentral:rRNA from 1 species